rnacentral:tRNA from 1 species
GUUUAUAUAGCUUAACAACAAAGCAUCAAUCUUGUAAAUUGAAGGAUAGAGAUUUACAUCUCUUUUAAACU